rnacentral:rRNA from 1 species
ACGCGAGGAACCUUACCAGGUCUUGACAUCCUCUGACAACCCUAGAGAUAGGGCGUUCCCCUUCGGGGGACAGAGUGACAGGUGGUGCAUGGUUGUCGUCAGCUCGUGUCGUGAGAUGUUGGGUUAAGUCCCGCAACGAGCGCAACCCUUGAUCUUAGUUGCCAGCAUUUAGUUGGGCACUCUAAGGUGACUGCCGGUGACAAACCGGAGGAAGGUGGGGAUGACGUCAAAUCAUCAUGCCCCUUAUGACCUGGGCUACACACGUGCUACAAUGGGUGGUACAAAGGGCAGCAAAACCGCGAGGUCGAGCCAAUCCCAUAAAACCACUCUCAGUUCGGAUUGUAGGCUGCAACUCGCCUACAUGAAGCUGGAAUCGCUAGUAAUCGCGGAUCAGCAUGCCGCGGUGAAUACGUUCCCGGGCCUUGCACACACCGCCCGU